rnacentral:rRNA from 1 species
UACGUAGGCAGCGAGCGUUGUUCGGAAUUACUGGGCGUAAAGAGUGUGUAGGCGGUGUUCUAAGUUCGGUGUGAAAUCUCCUGGCUCAACUGGGAGGGUGCGCCGAAAACUGGGAUGCUCGAGCGUGGGAGAGGAAAGCGGAAUUCCUGGUGUAGCGGUGAAAUGCGUAGAUAUCUGGAGGAACACCGGUGGCGAAGGCGGCAUCCUGGACCAACACUGACACUGAGGAGCGAAAGCCAGGGGAGCAAACGGG